UACGGAGGGAGCUAGCGUUGUUCGGAAUUACUGGGCGUAAAGCGCGCGUAGGCGGCUUUGUAAGUUAGAGGUGAAAGCCCCGGAGCUCAACUCCGGAACUGCCUUUAAAAACUGCAUCGCUUGAAUCCAGGAGAGGUGAGUGGAAUUCCGAGUGUAGAGGUGAAAUUCGUAGAUAUUCGGAAGAACACCAGUGGCGAAGGCGGCUCACUGGACUGGUAUUGACGCGUGAGG
rnacentral:rRNA from 1 species